rfam:Trametes versicolor FP-101664 SS1 unplaced genomic scaffold TRAVEscaffold_12, whole genome shotgun sequence.
GGCGCUAUAGUGUAGUGGUUAUCACUUGGGAUUCUGAAGAGUGUUCCCAAGACCCAGGUUCGAUCCCUGGUAGCGCCU